UACGUAGGUGGCAAGCGUUGUCCGGAUUUACUGGGCGUAAAGAGCGCGCAGGCGGUCGGAUAAGUCGAAUGUGAAAGCCCCCGGCUCAACUGGGGAGGGUCACUCGAUACUGAUCGACUUGAAGGCAGGAGAGGGAAGCGGAAUUCCCGGUGUAGUGGUGAAAUGCGUAGAUAUCGGGAGGAACACCAGUGGCGAAGGCGGCUUCCUGGCCUGUUCUUGACGCUGAGGCGCGAAAGCUAGGGGAGCAAACGGG
rnacentral:rRNA from 1 species